rnacentral:precursor_RNA from 12 species
GCCAGCGCUGGGACCACCGGCCGGGCUGCCCCUCUUUCCCUGUUGCACUACUGUCACGGUCGCAGCGAGCAGUGCAAUAAUGAAAGGGCGUCAGUGCGCCGGGGAGCGGCGAGAGCCGGGG